CUAUGUCGUACUAUUAAGGGAGUACGCUAGGUUUACAAAGUGACAAAAAGACCCUAAGCUCAUGAAGUUGUCACGAUUUAACAAAUUCCCGCCAAAAGGUUUACUCGUCUCCUCGUUCCUGGGUCAAUCCGAGUGGAAAUGAAGCGAACUCAGCGAUCCAAACGUGUCGCAAGCUCAAACCCGGGAAGCCAAUUUCAACAGCAACAGAUUCGGGCCAUGACUCGGAUACUGGGACGAGUUGACUCUCCAAAUCAGUGAACUUCCGGUCUACUUCCGCCAAACCCCAUAACUAACUUGGCUCCCGACUGAGUUCCAUCGUGUGCGAAAGUAACGAUUUACCUCCUCAGUUCUUCCAAGUUGUGCUUUCGAUCUUGCCGCUGGUUUGCUUGGGAAGUUUCUGAGGAGAUACGACGUCGUUCUUCAAGUGACUGAGUUUAGAAAAGGAGGGCAUGCAUAUGUCUAUCUUUGCUUUGGUCUGCAUACAAUUCUCAAUGUUGUUGCUGACAAGAAAGGAGUUGGGGCUGCUGCUUGAAUCGGAUCCUGCGCCCCUUAAUUCUGGUAAUUUUUGCAUGCUAUAUGUGCGUUGCUUCUUGUUAAUUCUGGUAAUUUGCACCACUUUGUGAACUGUGUAUCUUCAGGCCUCUGAUGCUUUCACCAAUUCAGUAUUUUAGUUUGAAAUGGGUGUAUUAAGCUUGCUAACAUUCGCCACACCCGCCUAAAAAUGAAAGAAAAUCCUGGAGCCAGUAUCCUGUCCGAUGAUUUGGGUUGGUAAAUACCUCCCAAAUGUGGAGCAACGAUAGCUUUUGCGUGCAACAAAAAUUAUAAACCAAGGAUGCGAGUACAGUGGGUUGUUGUACGUGCAGGCGACGGUGAACGGGCAUGAAGUGCUGGCAAUGGUGGACAGCGGUGUUAGCUUACAAGCAUUAAUGAUGUGGCAUACAACCCAUGCCACUGCGCAAUCAUGCACAGAGUAUGUGUUGGUGUUCUUGAGGUGCUUGUUGGUGCACCAGCCCCAGAAGCAACGUCAUUAUCAGAACAGGCAGAGGGAGAUGCUACUGUCAAGAGUGGGCAAGAGCUGCCACAGAAGAUAUGUUGUGAUGAACUACUUGUGUGCGCGGGUGAUUUGCUUGGGCUGUUUUCUGAGUUGGAAGGCAGGCAUAUUGUGUUG